GAUAAAAUAGAAUAAAUUAGUUCGUUUCAUUUACACUGAAAAAGUCAGUUAACUGUUUUAUUU
rnacentral:tRNA from 1 species